rnacentral:rRNA from 1 species
AGUCGUGAGGAUGGGUGUGUAGUUAAUAGCUGCAUAUCUUGACGUUAGCGACAGAAGAAGCACCGGCUAACUCCGUGCCAGCAGCGGCGGUAAUACGGAGGGUGCGAGCGUUAUCGGAAUUACUGGGCGUAAAGCGCAUGCAGGUGGUUCACUAAGUCAGAUGUGAAAGCCCGGCGCUCAACCUCGGAACCG